AGAACGAACGCUGGCGGCAUGCCUAAUACAUGCAAGUCGAACGAGAUCCUUCGGGGUCUAGUGGCGCACGGGUGCGUAACGCGUGGGAAUCUACCCUUGGGUUCGGAAUAACAGUUGGAAACGACUGCUAAUACCGGAUGAUGACGAAAGUCCAAAGAUUUAUCGCCCAGGGAUGAGCCCGCGUAGGAUUAGCUAGUUGGUGAGGUAAAGGCUCACCAAGGCUACGAUCCUUAGCUGGUCUGAGAGGAUGAUCAGCCACACUGGGACUGAGACACGGCCAGACUCCUACGGGAGGCAGCAGUAGGGAAUAUGGACAAUGGGGGCAACCCUGAUCCAGCAAUGCCGCGUGAGUGAUGAAGGCCUUAGGUUGUAAAGCUCUUUUACCCGAGAUGAUAAUGACAGUAUCGGAAGAAUAAGACUCCGGCUAAACUCCGUGCCAGCGAGCCGC
rnacentral:rRNA from 1 species